rnacentral:rRNA from 1 species
GACAGCAGCCGCCGCGGUAAUACAGAGGGUGCAAGCGUUAAUCGGAAUUACUGGGCGUAAAGCGCACGCAGGCGGUCUGACAAGUCAGAUGUGAAAUCCCCGGGCUUAACCUGGGAACUGCAUUUGAAACUGUCAGGCUGGAGUCUUGUAGAGGGGGGUGGAAUUCCAGGUGUAGCGGUGAAAUGCGUAGAGAUCUGGAGGAAUACCGGUGGCGAAGGCGGCCCCCUGGACAAAGACUGACGCUCAGGUGCGAAAGCGUGGGGAGCAAACAGGAUUAGAUACCCCGGUAGUCCCUGUCUCUUAUAA